UACGGGGGGGGCAAGCGUUGUUCGGAAUUACUGGGCGUAAAGGGCUCGUAGGCGGCCAACUCAGUCGGACGUGAAAUCCCUCGGCUUAACCGGGGAAUGGCGUCCGAUACUGGAUGGCUUGAGUUUGGGAGAGGGAUGCGGAAUUCCAGGUGUAGCGGUGAAAUGCGUAGAUAUCUGGAGGAACACCGGUGGCGAAGGCGGCAUCCUGGACCAACACUGACGCUGAGGAGCGAAAGCCAGGGGAGCAAACGGG
rnacentral:rRNA from 1 species